GUAUAAUCUCCACUUAUUUGUGAAUUUUCCAAUUUUAUUCUUGUUAGUGAUUUCUAGCUUCAUACCGUUAUGGUCAGAUAAGAUAUUUUAUGUGAUUUCAAUCUUCUUGACUUUAUUAUGACUUGUUUUGUUGCCUAACAAAUUCCUCUCCUGGAAAAUGUUUCACGUGUCCAUGAAAAUAAUGUGUAUUCUGCUGCUAUUGGCUAGAAUGUUCUAUAAUAUCUGUUAAUCCCAUCUGCUCUAAUGUGUAGCCUAAAUCCAAUGCUUCCCUGUUGAUUUUCUGUCUGAGUGAUGUGUUAAAUGUUUUAAGCUUGAAGUUCAUGAAAAUUUAGUUAGAGUGAUAUUCUUUUGUGUUUAUUAUUAAAUAUAAAUUACAAAGGAAAGAUUAAAUGUAAAAAAGCAACAACUAAAUAAAUAUAUUUAAUUAGAAGUGUUAUAAGUGUGUACUGAGAUGGGUAAACAGCAUAGUAAUUUCCUGUAUAACUAAAUAGAGACUUAUUAUAAAGUAUUUAAUAAGCAAAGUAGGUUUUAAUCAAACAAUGGAAAAUUGAAAGAAAGGUCAUUUGUAAUCACAAUAGUAUAUAUCCUUUCUUAACAGGUGACCUUAAAGGAUUCCCAUUUACUGCGAUUAAGGAUCUACUAAGCAUCAUUUUUGCAUGACUACUACAAAAGGAUAUCUUUGCAGAAACCAGUUCCCUUUUGAAGUUCAUAGUUUGGACCCUGUUUUCAGAAAACAGAAAAUAUCAUCAACUGCACAGAAAGUGGACACCCUGACACGAUCACCUUUUAUGUCAGAGUAG
rnacentral:lncRNA from 1 species